rnacentral:misc_RNA from 3 species
CUGAGUGUAAAAACUCCCAACCCUUUGUGAACAUACCUCUGUUGCUUCGGCGGAUGCGCCCCGGGCGCGCCUCCUAGGAGGCGUGCCCCGGAACCAGGCGCCCGCCGGGGGACCUACAAACUCUUGUAUUCCUAGCGGAUCUCUGAGUGUGAUUUAAACAAAUCAAAUCA